AAGCUCGUAGUUGAAUUUCGGAUGAGGACCCUUGGUCUGGCUUCUGGUCAGUACUGGGGGGACCGAGUCUUUUUUCUGGGAAAUAAGGGUGCUCUUUACUGAGUGCCCUUAGGAACCAGGACGAUUACUUUGAGAAAAAUAGAGUGUUUAAAGCAGGCUUAUUGCUUGAAUACAUUAGCAUGGAAUAAUAAAAUAGGACUUUGGUUCUAUUUUGUUGGUUUUAAGGACCAAUGUCAUGAUUAAUAGGGAUAGUUGGG
rnacentral:rRNA from 1 species